UAUUUCCCCGAGGAGGCAUUUCUCGUACGCACCCGGCCCCAGCCGUGGAGGGAGGAGGCUGGUGUGUUAUUUUUGUGUUUUUUGAGGCGAAUUAUCCUGUUGCCGAGGGAGCCAUGCAUCUGGAAACGGCUGGGGAAGGAGACGGUGGCUGAGUGGUUAGCGUGCCGGUCCUGCGUUCACUGCGUCAUGGAUGAGGAGGGUUUGAAUCCACCGCUGCCACAGUCUACCUGUCCUGAAGACCACCACCAUCAUCCUGGACUGUAUGGGACUGUCCAAGGGAAAGCAAGAUGGGGCCGCUAUAAACACUUGCCGGCUUGGGCCCACCACCAGGCCCAGCCAAGGGAGGUUGGUGUAGCAGUGCUGGGAGGUGCCAUAACACAGGGCACUCCUCACCUCAACAACAGUCUCUUCACCGACAAGUAAUUCUUCACCAACAAGCUUUUCAGCAGCCUGGAGAAAUAGGUAAGCUUUCUCUACUCAUUUCCUGCCCUGCCUUCAUUACCCCCGCCAGAAGCCUCCAAAGGGUGAACCCGUUAUAUUGAGCUGUAAAAUGUUCAGCAGCUCACUUAGUAACCCAGUGUGUUGUAAAAUGUUCACUACCUCCCCUUGCUUAGAGGGAAAGGCCUUUUAACCCAGUGGUGGUGGUAGCA